rnacentral:lncRNA from 1 species
CCAAGCGUUUACAGACGUGCUUCGCUAUUUAAACUGUGCGCUCCGCGCUUGCGACAAAACGCCCCCUUACGCGAACCGAAGCUGCUGCGGAUUUGCGUGGACGAAAAGCCCAGAGACUCGUCAAAAUGAGUGACAGCAACCCGGUUAAGCAGGAGGUGCAGAACUUCGACAAGAAGUGUCUAAAGAAGACAACCACUGCAGAAAAGAACACCCUCCCUACCAAGGAAGACAUCGAGCAGGAGAAGAGGGCGGAAGCCUCGAAAUGAAAAGCCAGGCCUCAAGACCCCCGCUGCCCUGGCUCUGCCCGACCUCCGCCGAAAUGAUCUACCUGUCGGUCCCUGCCGUUCCUCCUCGGCGCCUCACGCUCCACUGAACAGCACUCGUUCAGACCCUGUGGAGAAAGAGGUGCCGCGGGGGGAUGGAGGGCAGGUGGAGGUGCGGCGGCCACAGUGGGGAUGUGCUCCAGUUUUAAUGCCAAUUUCAGCUGUGUAAAUUUUGAUUCUUGCUUUAUAUAACUCAUUCCUGGCAGUGAAGGAAGUGGGAGGGAGUCGUUUGGAGGCUUGCUAUCAACAAACGGGGCGACCUGCGCCUGUGCUGUUCGGACAACACCGGUUCCGCCGUUGGCGCCUCCCAUGUGGUGCUGCCGCCAUUCCGGAUGCGUGCAUUAACAAUGUUAAAAUAUUUUCUCUAUUUCUGUUUUUAAACAAAAUAAAGAUGUUUUAAAAGGGAUUUUGUGAAGAGUC